rnacentral:rRNA from 1 species
GAGAGUUUGAUCCUGGCUCAGAUUGAACGCUGGCGGCAGGCCUAACACAUGCAAGUCGAGCGGCAGCGGGAAAGUAGCUUGCUACUUUUGCCGGCGAGCGGCGGACGGGUGAGUAAUGCCUGGGGAUCUGCCCAGUCGAGGGGGAUAACUACUGGAAACGGUAGCUAAUACCGCAUACGCCCUACGGGGGAAAGCAGGGGACCUUCGGGCCUUGCGCGAUUGGAUGAACCCAGGUGGGAUUAGCUAGUUGGUGAGGUAAUGGCUCACCAAGGCGACGAUCCCUAGCUGGUCUGAGAGGAUGAUCAGCCACACUGGAACUGAGACACGGUCCAGACUCCUACGGGAGGCAGCAGUGGGGAAUAUUGCACAAUGGGGGAAACCCUGAUGCAGCCAUGCCGCGUGUGUGAAGAAGGCCUUCGGGUUGUAAAGCACUUUCAGCGAGGAGGAAAUUUGGUAGCUAAUAACUGCCAGCUGUGACGUUACCGCAGAAGAAGC